rnacentral:rRNA from 1 species
UGUGAACACAUGCAAGUCGAACGGGGUAGCAAUACCCAGUGGCGGGUGCGUAACACGUGAGGAACAUGUCUUUCGGCGGGGAAUAGCCGGCCUAACGGCCGGGUAAUACCGCGUACGACGAUUGGGGCGCAUGCUUCGAUCGUGAAAGCAGCAAUGCACCGAUAGAGUGCCUCGCGGCCUAUCAGCUAGUUGGUGAGGUCAUGGCUCACCAAGGCGACGACGGGUAGCUGGUCUGAGAGGAUGAUCUGACACAUUGGGACUGAGACACGGCCCAGACUCCUACGGGAGGCAGCAGUGGGGAAUAUUGCGCAAUGGGCGAAAGCCUGACGCAGCGACGCCGCGUGUGGGCUGAAGGUCUUCGGAUUGUAAACCACUGUCAAGAGGGACGAAUGCGCCGCAAGGCGAGUGAGGGUACCUCCAAAGGAAGCACCGGCUAACUCUGUGCCAGCAGCCGCGGUAAUACAGAGGGUGCGAGCGUUGUCCGGAAUCACUGGGCGUAAAGGGCGCGUAGGCCGGCCUGGUAAGUAGGGGGUGAAAUCUUGCGGCUCAACUGCACCGCUGCCUCCUAAACUGUCAGGCUUGAGCACAGUAGAGGCAGUGAAUUCCCGUGUAGCGUGAAUGCGUAGAGAUCGGGAGACAUCGUGCGAAGGGCUGCUGGGCUGUUGCUGACGCUGAGGCGCGACAGGGAGCAACAGGAUUAGAUACCCUGUAGUCCACGCCUAAACGAUGGGUACUAGGCGUCGGGGGAGCGACCCCUUCGGUGCCGUCGCUAACGCAGUAAGUACCCCGCCUGGGGAGUACGGCCGCAAGGCUGAAACUCAAAGGAAUUGACGGGGGCCCGCACAAGCGG